UUUGACUAAUGCACCUUCUCUCCUGUCCAGCUGCCAUGCAGAGUGCCUGCCUUCUGUCUCCGUAUCUCUGCUCAUCUGCCAUCUCCCACAGGUGAUUUUUGACUGUUUCUGUUUACUAUCAACUUUUCAUGACAUUCAGCAUCCCCUCCACAACCCCACCCCAUGUCACGCUGUGGUGAUGAAGUUGUGUGCAAGAGUUGUGAGGAACAGGGAAGUUUCUUUUACAAUGAAGUUUCAAGGUAAAGCAUAUCCAGGCAGUAAAAGAACAGAAAGUUGAUUCUGUAAUUCACUUUUCCAUGAAGCUUCAAGGGUAAUCACUGUGUGGUUGCCUUUGAGACCUGAGGUCAUAUACUAAAGCUAUUACAAAUGAUUUAAUAAAUACAUAUUUAAUUAUUGAAUCACGUUGAGUGCACUAUUUAAUUUCCUUACCACAGAUGGCACGCAAUUACUAGAUUUACUCAGGUUUCUCCAAAUGAUUUCCAUUAGCGUAUAUUCUCAUUCUUUUAUUCCCCUAAAGUUGAAAAAACUCUUUAGACAAUUACCCCAGAGAGUUACCAAAUAUUAAAAAAAAAAAAAGAAACAAAACCAUACAACAGCAAAAAGCAUAUGGAACUAUACUCUCUAAAAACUGCAUUGCAACACACAAAUUUACUGAAUAGCAUUUUUAGGAAAAUAUGAGAAUGAAAACUAGAGUUAAGUUCUUAUAUUUUAUAUUAAAAUGUUAUAAGGUUUUAUUCUAUGUGAUGAUCAUCAGUGCAAUACAGACCAAUUGACAAGCCUGUUCUGUAUCAAAUUUUCAGGAGGGAAAUGAAGAGAAGAAAUUAGGAGAUUUCUCCAAAAUCACAGCCAGCCACUCCAUGUUGCUGACUGACAUCCAAUACUGCUCAUAUUGUAUAUGCACUGAGUGUCAGGCAGUCUACGUUACAAGCACCAGUUUUUCUUCACAAGAACCCAUCAAAGUGUUACAGUUAUUAUCUUCAUCUUACAGAUGGGAAAUUGAGACACAGAGGGAUUAAGUAGUUUUCCAAGUCAUUCAGCUUGUAAUGUAGGAGAGAGAUUUGGUCCAAGCAGUCAGAUUCUACUUUCAGUGCUGUCACCACUGUGUUACAUAACAACACCCCACCUGUAAGCUAGUGUUUCUGAUUUCCUUAGCUAAUUUCUACUAGUUUCCCCCUGGAUGAAUGGUAGGGUCUAUUGAUUAUAGCCACUUUAAAAAAAAAAAAUCUACAAACAAGAGUAGGUUAUUAAAACAGCUAUGGGUAAUAGGACAUUUCCUACCAAUUCUGUAAGGUUCGGUUACUUAAGAAGAAUGAGUUGGGUUUACACUGUACGUGAAUGCAGCUCUGAAAUUUUUCUUAAAUCUAUUUGGACCUAAUCUGAACUGUUUUUAAAAAAUUAAAUUAAGAUUGUGCCUAUAUCGCAUGUCUCACUUUGGCCAUAGUUAGAGGAUUCUCAGUUAAUAUUUGUUGCUGCUCAGUUUGAAAAAAGCUAGAUGGACAGAAUUUAUAGCACUGGAGAAAGGAUUGUGUGCUGUGGCUGUUUAUAAAAACAAGGCAGCUUGCUCUACAUAUUAGAAGAAGCUAUGUUCUAUCAUAUUGGCCCAGCAUUUUCAUUUCUUUAGGAGUUUAAAAUUAAUUUAAGUAGUACAGUCCAAAUGAUGCUUUUGUUGUUUUGUUGUGGUAUGUAAUUGGUUAAUUGGACUUUAAAAUUAUACUUGUUAAGGCAAUAAUUAUUGUGUUAAUCAUAGAAGUAGGGGGUAAAUAUUUCUGUUCCCAACACCAAAUAUGAACAUAUUAAUGGAUUUUUCCCUUCAUUUAUGUAUCUAUUCUCAACAAUAAAAAUAACAACAAAAGGUACUCUUUUGAACAGCUUCUCUAUAAUUAGAUUUUGGCUCACUCACUCUUCACUUCAUGAUUUCAUGGUUGGGUUAGUAGGCGUACUUUUUAACUUACUUUUAAAAUGUAAAACCAUGCUGGUAUGUGUGUAUGAACUAUAUUUGAUUGAAUAGAAGUUUGUGUGCCUUUACAGAUUUGAGAAAAAAAUACAUAUAUAUGAUGAUUAUGAAACAUAUCAGGUGUGUAAUUAUAUACAUAAAAAAAUCACAUUAUUAAAUCUGAGGCCUGAUUCAGCGAAAGUACUCAUACAUGUGACUGUACACUGAUUUAAAUAUGUAUAUUAUUUGUAUAUUAUUUUACCCACACUACUACCACUCACAGUCCUAGUUUUAUCAUAUAAUUAAUGUAUUUCCUGAAUUUUCUUCAUUGUUAUAAAAGGUUUAUAUGGUAUAUAUGUAUAUGCAUAUAUUUUAUACAUAUGGAUAUACCAUCAUAGUAUAAAGAUUAGUCAACAUGAAGACAAUGACAAUAACACCUCUGAUUUUUUACCAUUUUAGUAGACAUUAGCAAUACUUUUUUGCAAUACACUAUUUUCUUGUUCCAAACUCAGGCUUACUAGAUUUUAUGUAGAUGGAUCUUGUGCUGUUUCUUUCUCUUUUUGUCACAUGUUUUGUUUGGGAGGAAGGAAGGAAGGAAGGGAGGCAAGAAGGGUAAGAGGGAAAGAAAGAUGGAAGAUAUCAGAAGAAAGCAAUGAAUACUGUGUCCUGCCAUUUAAUCCACCUCAUACUUAUUUUAACCUUUUCCUCAUAAACAACAGCAUAACUAAGUCUUAUAUAAUGUUAGCCAAAUAUAAGCCUUCAGAAAAUAAUUUUUCCGGAUCAUAGCUAUUUUAACUGCCUAUGUUAGUGAAAUAUAAGAAUCAACUGGCUUGCUGAAUUGAAGAUAUAAGAUUUUAGGAACAUUGCAAGCAAAGACCAAUAUAUUCAGAUAUGAACCAGACGUUAUUUAUUUUUAAGAGCCUUCACAUAGUGAGAGUGCCUCUAUUCCAAAUUGAAAACCCUUUUUGAGUUUGAAAAAGACACUCGUCUAGCUUGAACACCUACUGACAUUAUUUUCUAAAUGUUAAAAUUGACAGCAGAAAGCUACUGCUGUUUUCUGUAACUCUGUGAAAAUCUUUGCCCACUUCAGCCUUCUCAAUUGCAAAGCUAGUCCAGAUGGGACCAUGAAAUUUUUGCAGCAAGUUCUACAGCACAUAAUUUUGUUCAAUAAAGUUAUUAUGCCACACACAGCUGUAUACUGCCAUAUAAAUGAGCACAUGUGCAAUAGAAUUCUUGCAUUAUAAGUUUUAUAAGACUAAAAUUGAGAUUAUACAGCCAUACACAAUAAUUUAUUUGAAACAUCAACAUGUGCCUUGCUCUAGGGUUAUACAAAUGGUGCCAUUUCUUUUCCAAGAGAAAACGUUUGUCAUUUAAUAUUCAGUAUUAACACAAAUGUUUUCCUCAGAAUUAUAAUCUAAAUUAGGUGCUUUAAAAUACAUCAAUAUAUCAUUAACUUCUUACUUUAACAUAUUAGAUCUAUAGAAGAAUCAAUUCUCCCUAACAAUAGUGAAAGAACCUAAUCACUCUCUAAAUUUGCUUUUAAUUAGCAUCAUCUGCAUUAAUUGGUGUAGCUGAUAGCAAAACAUUACAAUGCAUUGCUAUUUUAUAUUUGAAAUGUAAUAUAUCUUUGGUCCCCUGUCUCGCCAAAGGAACCUUAGCCAUUUUUUCCUACAAUGUCUUAGUAAAUAUUUUCAGAUGUAUUGCUCAAGAAUUUUCUCUAAGAAACUAACUAUAUGAGGCUAUUUUUAGGGAUAGCACUAUUCAAAUAAAUUUACAGGUAACUAUUUGGCCUUGACUUCCUCUGCAUGUUUGAGAAUAUCCUGAGAAAUACUCCAUCUUCAUUCCUCUAAUUCACUAAUUCUCAGUCAAAUUUUUGAGUGUUGCAAAAGAAAUGCUGUGUAAUCAGCAAGCUGCUGAGAAGGAAGAAAGGAAUCUACAAUUUAUGCUGUGUUGUUUUGCACACAUUAUUUUUUCACGGUAAUUAUGAAACACAGGUAAUAUUUCCUGGUGGGGAAAAGUGAAAAAAAAAAUAAUAACAAAAGUAAAAUAAAAGCCUAGAGCUCUGAGAAGUUAACAGAACUAGCCUUCAUAGCCAGAUGGUGUUAUAGAUGUUCUCGGUCAUUGUCAUUGCCAUAGUUCAGGUCCUCUGACCCCAAGUC
rnacentral:lncRNA from 1 species